rnacentral:piRNA from 1 species
AAACCGAUGGACCUGGACAGUUGUUGAA